rnacentral:misc_RNA from 1 species
CUGAUAAGAUCAUCACUGGUUUCCAUCUUUUCUUCACCCCGCUUACGGAUCACAAUAUUAAGGAUGCUGUCCAAGCCUAAAAUUCUGUUUGAGCUCAUAUACUGCUUUUGUUGGAGAGCCAAAUCAUCUUCUUUCAUUUUGAUCUCAUUUCUUGAUAUGCGUUCAAACAAUGACCUUAAGUAUUCCUCAGGUAGAUCUUUUCCAUCGUCAAUGCCACGAUUGUUUCUUAUAAAAUCAUCAGCCGACAUCUUGUUCUUCACCAUGGGAUUGUGAGCAUCAGUAUUGAGCAUGAUCACAGAGUAAGCAAGGACAUAGGCCGUGUCAGCACUAGUAAAGACCUUCAGAUUACAUUUGCAGUAACGCUCAGCAAACUUUUCCAUGAUGCGAUCAAUCUUCUGAGCCUCACCAGGUAACCUGAAGCCUUGUAGGAAGACUCUGAUAGCUUCAUCAAACUCCNACUCCAUGCCAUGAAAGUCAAAGGAAUCCACAUAGGCAUGCAUCACUUUGAGAGAUAAAUCCUCCCUCUCUCCUAAAUAAUCACCAAUAAGGGUCUUGUUCAAACCAGAUGCAUUUUUAAGAAAAGCUGCUAUCUCUUCAGGUGAAUUUCCCACUUUAUUUGCGUUGAUAAGAAACUCAAUACCUUUCUUAGGUUUCCGAUUAAAAAGAGAUAUACCUUC